rnacentral:ncRNA from 22 species
GUAUCUUUGUCAUGCAUUGGUUCGCUCCCCCUCUUCUGGGAAAGCGAUUAAAAGGGAAUCAGGUGUAAAUCCUGGACAGUCCCGCUGCUGUAAGUUUCGUGCAACGUUGCAGACAAUUACUCUAUGCCACUGGAAUAUUCUUCCGGGAAGGCGCCUGCAACAGAAACAAGUCAGAAGACCUGCCAUGCAUACUUUAUCAUUG